GGUCUUUCAUUGUUUUGGCCGAUACUUCUGCCUUCACUUUGAAGCCUUUCAGCUUGGUAUGGCCCCCGUUUACAUGGCUUUCCUUCGUUUCAUGGGUGAUGAGACAGAAGCCCGUAAUUACAGCUACAGCCUGGAGGUUGGGGGAAAUGGCCGGAAACUCAUUUGGGAAGGGACCCCGCGAAGCGUUAGAGAUAGCCACAGAAAAGUUAGAGAUAGCCAUGAUGGUCUCAUUAUACAGAGGAACAUGGCGCUUUUCUUCUCUGGAGGGGAUAGGAAAGAGUUAAAGCUUCGAGUGACAGGACGCAUAUGGAAAGAACAGCAGAACCCAGACGGUGGGGCAUGCAUACCCAAUCUCUGCAGUUAGGAUGGUUUGCACUUUCUCUCUCCCUCUCUUUCCCCCCUGUGUGCUUCUUUUGUAAUAUUAGCAUAUUCAGAUAUGUUGAGAAUCCAUAUGUAUGAAUUCUGGAGGCAUGAGCUUUAUAAUAAAUUGCCAAUAAACUAUCCAACGAAGUUACUCUGGGUUUGCUGUGAAUUUACCAUUUUAGCAGCUGCCUCAAUUCUCAUGGUGUGCUUCUUUUUGUACUUCUUCAAUUUGGGUACAAGUUGAAGUUGCUGCUUUAAAUAGCCAGAUAAGGACAAGAUAACUUCUUACAUUGCACUGACUUUCAGCCUAUGCUUGUCCAUUUACUUGGAAACUGAGGAAUAGAAAUGACAGACAGAAUCACUGCAUAUUCAAGUUCAGAUAGCUCGUAUUCUCCUGUUGAUUUGCUCUGGCCAGAAGUUCAUCUCCCUGGGAUUAAGGCGGUGCAUUGGAGUAUUCAGGGGUAACCAAAAAGGAAGUUAAUUGACAUCACUUAUUUCCAAUCAUGUGCUAUUGAGUGCAUGA
rnacentral:misc_RNA from 1 species